rnacentral:piRNA from 1 species
UUCCACAUUCCUGGACUUUGUCAUUUCUUU